CCCCCAGCGGGUUCUGAUGCCCACUCAGGCUUGAGAAUCACUGUGUUUGAGCAAACCCUCCCCCUCUUUCUUCCCUUUCUUGUUUACUGAAUUCCUGUGAUGAGCCGGGCUGCAGAUUUUCUUAGUCCCCGCCUCGUAGAAUUCACACCCUAUCAGGAGAGACGGAGCUGCCAGAUGUCAAAUUGCUCCAUAUUCUGUGGCUUCGGGAUCCAGGCAAAUGUCCGUAAAGGAGAGGAUUGUAACCACCGAAACACAGCAUGAAUACAGGGCCCUGGAUUCUGUUGUGGGCAACUCAGAUGAGAUGGUGGCUACGAGAUGGAGGCUAGGAGCGUGCUGUAUAAACAAAAAGUGAUAACUGAGAAGUUCAACCUUCUUUGCUGUGUCCACUGGUGAGUUGCAAUGUUGGAAGGGCAUUGAAGAGGUGCCCACCAGU
rnacentral:lncRNA from 1 species